rnacentral:lncRNA from 1 species
AGUUCUAACAGCAUAUUAGCAAUUGUACGUAAGUUUAGUCCUUUAAAAAAAUGCUAAUCUAAAAGAUCGAAUCUCAUUCUCCGUUUGUUCCUCAUUCUAUGUUUUUUUUAACACAUUGUAAAAUUCUACUCCCUCUAUCUCAAAUUAUAAAUCAUUUUCUCUAAACUUACGUAGAAUUGUUUAUAUACUGUUAGAACUGUUUUCCCUAAGACCCUAAACCCUAUAUAUAUAUAUAUAUAUAUAUAUAUAUAUAUAUAUAUAUAUAUAUAUAAGGUUCAAGAUUUAAGUCUUUUUUAUUUUAAUUUUUGUAAUUGAAUUGUUUAUUUAAAAAAAAGGAUAUAACAUAGGUGCAGUUCCAAUGAUAUUUUUGGUGCUUUUUUUCAUUCAUAAGGUGAUAUCUGUCUAAAACUUAACGUCAAAUUCAGAUCCUCUACCAAAACAUGACUAUGUCGUACAUUUGUUUUUCCAAAAAUGGGAGAUUAACUCCACAUGUUAUAUCAUGAACGGAAAAUAGUUCUAACAGCAUAUAAGCAAUUGUACGUAAGUUUAGUCCUUUAAAAAAAUGCAAAUCUAAAAGAUCGAAUCUCAUUCUCCGUUUGUUCUUCAUUCUAUGUUUUUUUAACACAUUGUAGAAUUCUACUCCCUCUAUCUCAAAUUGUAAAUCAUUUUCUCUAAACUUACGUACAAUUGCUUAUAUACUGUUAGAACUGCUUUCCCUAAAUAAUAACAACAAAACCCCUUUUUAACACAUUUUGAAUCUAUAUACUUGUUUUUGUUUGUGGUCUUUUGACCUUAAUGUACAUAAUAACAACAAAAACCCUAAAAGACAUUUGUGUGGAUUGUUGGAUUUGAUAUGAGACAUUGGACUUAGAAUUAGGAAACAUUCCAUAUGCAAAAGGACUUGGCCAAUGCCAACUUUCAUGAAACCAAGUGCUUGUGAAGUGAAUUUUCAUCUAAAGCAAGUGUUGAGAUCGCAUUUGAGUUCAUCUGCUACAUGGUCUUAUUGAAGUUGUUACUUUGAACUUGUGAUUAAUGCCUAUCUCUGAUUUCAUCUAAUAUAUGGGAGAUUUUGAAGAAGAUCAUGGAGUUGUUAAGCUUGGAUGUGGCUAUCUUUAUUUGAUGCUUUGCUCUUCAUCUUGCUAUUUGUGUAUUGAUAUUGCUUGAAUCUAAAGUCCAAGGGAAAUUUGGGUUUCUAUAUGACAUUCUCCACCCCACUGGUCAUAUCUUUUCAACUCUUAACUUUUAAAUUUGUGCUUAGGAUUAGUCUCUUCAACUCACCCCAGAUUCUUUAGUUUCAAAUCUCUCCCUCUUUUUAAAAUCUUCUUUGCUUGUGUUUUUUUCUAAACUUAGACCAUAUUGCAAAUUUGAAACUUUGGCCUUAUGCCAUUUCAUUUUUAAACUCUUUUCUUAAUCAAAUUUAUAAAUGAAUCUAAUCAUAUUGACUUAAAAUUUCAAAAGACAAAAAGAACUAACACUCAUUCAAACCUUUUUGGGCCUUUGUUAAAAUUAAAUUUUUGUUAAAAUCAAUGCAUUCACUUUGAAAUUGUUACCACAUACUACGAGGUAUUGAUCCCUUAUUUUUAUGUUGGUACGUAGGCACAAGUCUGAAGGUCUUGUCAAACACAAAAAUAUAGUUAUGGUUUUCAGCAUAAGAUGUGAAUUCCCUUUGAGAAACACUAUAGGAAAUUUCACCCCUAAGACCAAAAAGAAAUUGAUCAAUCUUCCACCUCUCAUCAGGUGCGUACGCGGCCUGCCUAGAAUAAGCAGCCAUAUCUUCGAACUUCUCAGCAUACGUACCUACUGACAUAGUACCCUGCCUAAUCUAUUGAAUUCAAACUCUUUCUGAAUCCUCAAAGAACUGGGAAAAUACUUAUCUAGGAAAAUAGUCUUAAAAUGCUCCCAAUCCCUAUGUGCUUCUUGAUUGGUCAUAAGAGUCAAAGAACUCUCCCACCAUCUCACAGCUGGACCCUUCAUCAUGUGAGCAGAAAACACAAACUUAUUCUCUUCACUAUAAUGCACUAUCUGAAAAAUCCUUUCCAUGCUCGUUAUCCACUCCUAAGCCUUCACAAGAUUCAACCCACCAUGGAAUUUAGGAGGAUUCAUGCGAAAGAAAUCUCGGAAACUACCACCUGCAUACCACCUGCAGCUUCUUGUGGAACCCCUCGAGGAUGCAAACCACCAUUCCAUUGUUGCAUCAUCUGUUGCAUGAAUUGGUUCUGUUGCUGUUGCAUCUGUUGCACAAACUGAGGCCAUUGAAAACCAUAACUACCACUUGGCGGUUCAGAGUCUGAAUUAUGGGUUCUGGGUCUACCAUGACCUUCGCGUCUGUCAACCAUGAUCCUGAAUGUCAUACAAAUAGGAUUAAGUUGAUCAGACUCAAUACUAUGAAUAUAACCCCAAGGAUAAUGAUAAAAAAACCACAUAUGAAGCAAAAAGAAAUACUUAUAAUAUAUCAUAGCUAGGUCGAGGAUACGACCUGCUCUGAUACCAACUGUAACACCCAACUGUAACACCCAUAUAUACUUGUAAAGUCAUGCAUAAUGUAACACCCACAUAUAAUAUAUGUCUAGAAUACAUAUUAUACAUAGUGUAACACUAGUACUGAAAUACAUAAGCGCCUAGCGGCACGGUGUACAUAUACAUACAUGCCCGAAAGAAACAUAACAUGGCAUAAAAUGUACACAAAAGUGCCCAAAAUAAAACUACUAGAAACUAGAUCAUUAAACAAUGAUCCCAUAAAUAUCUACACAACGAAAUAGCCAUCCAGUCUCCAGGUAAGCAAGACAUCACUCUAUCUUGACCUUACCUUCUCCUGCUCAGAAGCACAUGAAAAAAUAAUCAACAACAUGGGGUGAGAUAAUAAUCUCAGUGGGUUCCCUAUCUUAUGGGUCCACUCGGCUCUACAGGGAUUUCUAAUCGAUAUUCAACUCAUAUUCAACUCAAGUCAACAAGGGAAACUUAUGGGUCCACUCGGCUCUACAGGGAUUUCUAAUCGAUAUUCAACUCAUAUUCAACUCAAGUCAACAAGGGAACAAAGAAUUGAGCGAUGGGGAAACUAACUCGCAAUGUAUGGCAACAUGCACCCGAGUUCUCAGAACUCAACCACGAUCAUUAUUCAGAUCACGACGCAUCAAUUCCGGAACGGACUUACGUCUAAGCCAGACCCGAUUCAUGCAUGCUCGUAUGGUUCGACGUUCACGAUGGAUAUUAGGUUCUCUUAUGGGACUCGAACCCACUUUUAAGAACUGUCACUAUUAUAAGACUCGAACCCAAUAUUUAGUCUCUUUCACCGUAUGGGGCUCUAACCUACUCAGGUGUCCACCUUUCCCCCAUGUCCGCCAUUGUUGGGACUCAAACCCAAUUGAGGCUCGAAUCAUCAGUCUCACAUCUCAAUUCUUACUCAUCUAAGCAUACCACAUAGAGAUGUGUACCAUUACAGAAAAAAAACAUUCUGAAUACAUGAUCGGUUCCACAAAUCAUCAGUCCCACAAACCAUAACAAGAUCCAUCAAUCACGGGUGACUUCAUUCACCAUAAUACACAAACAAUAGCAUGGCAUGUUCCAUACAAUGCAUCUCAUUCUCAAACACAACAACCAUUCCUCCACGACCUCCACAUAAGCGCCGUACGAAUGAAUAUCGUUUCCGAAUAUUAUCUAGGUUACAAACCUAACUCAUGACCUAAUUUCAAUCCUAGGUUAACUCACUGGAUUCAUCUUAUAAUUUUCACCAUUAGCAUGUGUUCAACAUAAGCAUAUCAUCACAAUUGAUUAAUGGUUGGAAGAAUGCAUUUAGAAACACUUAAGAAAUAGAUUUUGAAGUUUUUAACAUAAGUCAAUUGAUUGGUUGGGUUGGCCCAAUCAAUUGGUUCCUCUCACAUUUCUGUUUUUCAAAGUUUGCUGAGGAUCAAUCGAUUGAUCAUGAGUGUCAAUCGAUUGGCUCACUAAAAAAUUUCCACUGUUCAUAUACAGAAAGUUUGUGCAAUCGAUUGUAAUGCACUGUCAAUCGAUUGGUCCUGUAAAAGUCACAUUUUUCUGCAAAACAACAAGUUGUGCAAUCGAUUGAUGAAAGGGACCAAUGGAUUGGUCCACUCACAUUUUCACAUUUCCAAUUCACAGAACACCAUAUCCUCUAUUAUUCCAUUUCUAACAAAACAUCACUUUUUCUUCCAACAAAACCCAUCAUACUACAUGUUCUUAUACACAUAUACAUCAAGGAUUCCAAGCUCAUAAUCACAAGGAUUUCAAAGUCAUAAUCACAACCAAUCAUUUUACCACAACCAUAACAAAUCAUGUUAUCACAAUAAUCAUAAGAACACAUCAAAGCACAUGUUCAUGGAAAUCAACAAGAGCAAGAAAAAUAUUCAUCGUAUAACAUGGAUUUUCAUGAUUUAUCUAUGAUUCUACAACCCUAAUCUUCUAGAAAUCUAGGAGAGCAAGAAAAAUAUUCAUCGUAUAACAUGGAUUUUCAUGAUUUAUCUAUGAUUCUACAACCCUAAUCUUCUAGAAAUCUAGGGUUUCUGACUAGAACCCACCUCAAAAAUGGAAGAGGAGAAGUUGAUGAAGAUGAGAUGAGGAUGAAUAUGAUGGUGUUGGUUCCAAGAUAUUUUUGGUGCUUUUUUUCAUUCACAAAGUGAUAUCUGUCUAAAACUUAACGUCACAUUCAGAUCCUCUACCAAAACAUGACUGUGUCGUACUUUUAUUUUUCCAAAAAUGGGAGAUUAACUCCACAUGUUAUAUCAUGAAUGGAAAACUGUUCUAACAGCAUAUUAGCAAUUGUACGUAAGUUUAGUCCUUUAUAAAAAUGCUAAUCUAAAAGAUCGAAUCUCAUUCUCCGUUGGUUCUUCAUUCUAUGUUUUUUUUAACACAUUGUAAAAUUCUACUCCCUCUAUCUCAAAUUAUAAAUCAUUUUCUCUAAACUUACGUACAAUUGCUUAUAUACUGUUAGAAUUGUUUUCCCUAAAACCCUAAUCUAUUCUCCGUUGUUUUCUAUCUAUGCUUUUUUAACACAUUGUAAAAUUCUAACCCUCUAUCUCAAAUUAUAAAUCAUUUUCUCUAAACUUACGUACAAUUCCUUAUUAUAUUGUUAGAACUGUUUUCCCUAAAACCCUAAACCCUAACCCUAAAUAUAUAAUAUAUAUAUAUAUAUAUAUAUAUAUAUAUUAAUAUAUAUAUAAUUAUAUAUAAUAUAUAUAUAUAUAUAUAUAUAUAUAUAUAUAUAUAUAUAUAUAUAUAUAUUAUAUAUAUAAUAUAUAUAUAUAUAUAUAUAUAUAUAUAUAUAUAUAUAUAUAUAUAUAUAUAUAAGUUAAAGAUUUAAGUCUUUUUAUUUUAUUUGUAAUGAAUUUUUAUUUUAAAAAAAGAUAAACAUUGGUGCAGUUCCAAUGAUAUUUUUGGUGCUUUUUUUCAUUCAUAAGGUGAUAUCUGUCUAAACUUAACGUCACAUUCAGAUCUCUACCAAAACAUGACUGUGUCGUACAUUAUUUUUCCAAAAAUGGGAGAUUAACUCCACAUGUUAAUCAUGAAUGGAAAACAGUUCUAACACAUAAGCAAUUGUACAAGUUUAGUCCUUUAAAAAAUGCUAUCUAAAAAGAAUCUCAUUCUCCGUUGUUCUUCUUUUAUGUUUUUUUUACACUUGUAAAAUUCUACUCCUCUAUUCAAAUUUAAAUCAUUUUCUCUAAACUUACGUACAAUUCUUAUAUAUUUAGAACUGUUCCCUAAAACCCUAAACCUAAACCCUAUAUAUAUAUAUAUAUAUAUAUAUAUAUAUAUAUAAAAUAUAUAUAUAUAUUAAAAUAAUAUAUAUAUAUAUUAUAUAUAUAUAUAUAUAUAUAUAUAUAUAUAAGGUUUAGGGUUUAGAGUUUUAGGGAAAAUAANACCCUAACCAUAAAUAAUUGUAUAUCUAUUAUAUAUUAUUUAUUAUAUAUAUAUUAUAUAAUAUAUAUAUAUAUAUUAUAUAUAUAAUAUUAUAUAUAUUAUUAUAUAUAUAUAUAUAUAUAUAUAUAUAUAUAUAUAUAUAUAUAUAUAUAUAUAUAUAUAUAUAUAUAGGUUAAAGAUUUAAGUCUUUUAUUUUUAUUUUAUUUUGUAAUUGAAUUGUUUAUUUAAAAAAAGGAUAAAACAUAGUGCAGUUCCAAUGAUAUUUUUGGUGCUUUUUUUCAUAUUAGGUGAUAUCUGUCUAAAACUUAACGUCACAUUCAGAUCCUCUACCAAAACAUGACUGUGUCGUACAUUUAUUUUUCCAAAAAUGGGAGAUUAACUCCACAUGUUAUAUUCAUGAGGAAACAGUUCUAACAACAUAUAAGCAAUGUACGUAAGUUUAGUCCUUUAAAAAAUGUCUAUCUAAAAGAUCGAAAUCAUUCUCCGUUUGUUCUUCAUUCUAUGUUUUUUUAACACAUUGUAAAUUCUACUCCUCUUAUCUCAUAUAUAUAAUUCUUCUCUACUUACGUACAAUGCUUAUAUACUGUUAGAACUGUUUCCCUAAAACCUAACCCUAAACCUUAAUAUAUAUAUAAUUAUUAUAUAAUUAUCUUUAAAGAUUUAAGUGUUUUUUAUUCUAAUUUUUGUAAUUGAAUUGUUUAUUUAAAAAAAAGGAUAAAACAUAGGUGCAGUUCCAAAGAUAAUUUUGGUGCUUUUUUUAUUCAUAAGGUGAUAUCUGUCUAAAACUUAACGUCGCAUUCAGAUCCUCUUCCAAAACAUGACUUUGUCGUACAUUUAUUACUCCAAAAAUGGGAGCUUAACUCCACAUGUUAUAUCAUGAAUGGAAAACAGUUCUAACAUCAUAUAAGCAAUUGCACGUAAGUUUAGUCCUUUAAAAAAAUGCUAAUCUAAAAGAUCGAAUCUCAUUCUCCGUUUGUUCUUCAUUCUAUGUUUUUUUAACACAUUGUAAAAUUC